rnacentral:rRNA from 1 species
UACAGAGGUCUCAAGCGUUGUUCGGAUUUAUUGGGCGUAAAGGGUGCGUAGGCGGCGGAGUAAGUUGGGUGUGAAAUCCCGGGGCUCAACCUCGGAAUUGCAUUCAAUACUGCUUCGCUUGAGUACUGGAGAGGAGGCUGGAAUUUACGGUGUAGCAGUGAAAUGCGUAGAUAUCGUAAGGAAGGCCGGUGGCGAAAGCGAGCCUCUGGACAGUUACUGACGCUGAUGCACGAAGGCCAGGGGAGCAAACGGG